rnacentral:rRNA from 1 species
UACGUAGGGUGCGAGCGUUGUCCGGAAUUAUUGGGCGUAAAGGGCUCGUAGGCGGUCUGUCGCGUCGGGGAGUGAAAACUCAGGGCUUAACCCUGAGCCUGCUUCCGAUACGGGCAGACUAGAGGUAUGCAGGGGGAGAACGGAAUUCCUGGUGUAGCGGUGAAAUGCGCAGAUAUCAGGAGGAACACCGGUGGCGAAGGCGGUUCUCUGGGCAUUACCUGACGCUGAGGAGCGAAAGUGUGGGGAGCGAACAGG